rnacentral:lncRNA from 1 species
AUGACCAUGAAGCUGCUGGCUUCCCAAGGCAGAGGACGUGGAACUGGAGGCAGGGCUGGGGCCUUGCAGGAGUGAGAGUGAACCCUCCCCACCAGCUUUGCUUAGUGGAUACCCCGCUUUUCUCUGUGUGGAGCAUACUCAGUGCAGUCACAAGUCCAGCUGCAUGAUGUUGGAUGUUCUAUCCUCUCGAGAGAAAUGGGCAAGCUCGUCCCACCAAGAGCACACUCGCCUCUGGUUAAUACUGGUGAGAGACACACGGCAGCCAGGCAGGCCCUUCUCGGCCCCACCCUCCUUCAUUCCGGAGGCAUUUCAGGAAGUCCUCAGGCCACACCUGGCACGACAGAAAACCUACUGACCCAGCUGACUUUAACGCUGCCACAUGGCUUCAAGAAUCUCAGCACAAGGAGCCUCAUUCUCCAGGGCCACCCGUUCAGGGUAGCGCCACUGUGUACAGAAC